rnacentral:lncRNA from 1 species
UAAAACCAAAAAACAAACUUGUUUUAGUAAUAUGUUUAAGAUGACUCUGACUCUCAUUUUCAGGGCUGGCUGGCCAUUCCUUUCCUGAAUUCAUUUUGGCAUGAAAGUCAACAUAGUGAUAAUCUAGGAAGCCAAUAUACACAGAUGGCUGGUCUGCAGCAUGACCUGGAAGAUGGCCUACUGGGACACACAGUAGAGAUCAAGCUCUUUCUGCCAGAAAAUGUUCUAGUUGUCCGUUGCUGGAGUUGAGUACAGAAAAGUGCAGUGCGUGUUCAACAACAAUUGUUUCCCAUGGAAAAUAUAAUGGCUGGUGACAGAAUUUGAUGGCUCAAUACAGAGCAGAACAUGCACAUGGAAAGAAAGACACAGAAAAGGAGGGAGGGAAGGAGGAGACAAGAUGUCUGUAGCAGAAUGGACACUGAUUUGGUAGAUGGGACAGAACAGCAUUAGCUGUUGUAUCUGGGGAAUACCUCUUUUCUCUAUGCUGUACAUACAGACUUCUCAGAAGACAAUAAAUAGACCUCCUGUAUUCUGCUGAACUGUUAUUGUAUCAAAGAAUGCAGCUGUUAUUUCCCAGAGGACCAGUCAUUCCAUUUUAUAAUGGUCACCUUAAAAACUAGCUAUUUUUUAUAAUUUUCCCAGUCUCUUCAUUGUACUUAAAAAUAGAAUUAGUCGAAGUCAUGUUUCUCCCUUUCGAGUUACCCCAGGAGUCACUUCCUGCUUAACAUAAUCCUUCAUGUAAUAGUAUCCCAAAAUUAUUAUUGUAAUAUUUCUUGUAAUAUAUUCUUGUAAUAAAGGUGUGCCAUUUUUUAUAUUGGUCCA